rnacentral:rRNA from 1 species
AGUCGAGCGGAUGAAGGAGCUUGCUCCUGGAUUCAGCGGCGGACGGGUGAGUAAUGCCUAGGAAUCUGCCUGGUAGUGGGGGACAACGUUUCGAAAGGAACGCUAAUACCGCAUACGUCCUACGGGAGAAAGCAGGGGACCUUCGGGCCUUGCGCUAUCAGAUGAGCCUAGGUCGGAUUAGCUAGUUGGUGAGGUAAUGGCUCACCAAGGCGACGAUCCGUAACUGGUCUGAGAGGAUGAUCAGUCACACUGGAACUGAGACACGGUCCAGACUCCUACGGGAGGCAGCAGUGGGGAAUAUUGGACAAUGGGCGAAAGCCUGAUCCAGCCAUGCCGCGUGUGUGAAGAAGGUCUUCGGAUUGUAAAGCACUUUAAGUUGGGAGGAAGGGUUGUAGAUUAAUACUCUGCAAUUUUGACGUUACCGACAGAAUAAGCACCGGCUAACUCUGUGCCAGCAGCCGCGGUAAUACAGAGGGUGCAAGCGUUAAUCGGAAUUACUGGGCGUAAAGCGCGCGUAGGUGGUUUGUUAAGUUGGAUGUGAAAUCCCCGGGCUCAACCUGGGAACUGCAUCCAAAACUGGCAAGCUAGAGUAUGGUAGAGGGUGGUGGCAAUUUCCUGUGUAGCGGCUGAAAUGCGUAGAUAUAGGAAGGAACACCAGUGGACGAAAGGCGACCACCCUGGACUGAUACUGACACUGAUGUGCGAAAGCGUUGGGGGAGCAAACAGGAUUAGAUACCCU